rnacentral:rRNA from 1 species
UUUGGGACUUACAAAGGUAUUGUAAUAAGACUUUAAUUGAGUGCUAAAAGAAUGGAAUUACAAAAAAAGGCUUUUUUAAUUUUAAAAAUUAAAAUUAUUUUUUUUUGUGAAGAAACAAAAAUUUAAAUUAAAGACAAGAAGACCCUAAGAAUUUUUUUUUUUAUUAAAAUAAAAUUUUAUUUUAAAAAUUUAAUUGGGGCGAUUAAUUAAAAUUAAAAACUUUAUUAACAAAAAAAAUGAUCCAUUAUUAAUGAUUAUUUGAUUAAAAUACUCUUGGGAUAACAGCGUAAUAAUUUUUGAUAGUUCUUAUAAAAAAAAUAAUUUGCGACCUCCAUGUUGGAUUAGGAUUCUUUUUUAAUGAAAAAGUUAAAAAAAAAAGUUUGUUCAACUUUUAAAUUCCUACUUGAUCUGAGUUCAAACCGGACGG